CGACGGCGCACGGGUGAGUAACGCGUAUCCAACCUGCCUUACACUCUUGGACAGCCUUCUGAAAGGAGAUUAAUACAAGAUGUUAUCAUGAGUAGGCAUUUUCGCAUGAUUAAAGGUUUACCGGUGUAAGAUGGGGAUGCGUUCCAUUAGAUAGUAGGCGGGGUAACGGCCCACCUAGUCUUCGAUGGAUAGGGGUUCUGAGAGGAAGGUCCCCCACAUUGGAACUGAGACACGGUCCAA
rnacentral:rRNA from 1 species